CCUACGGGUGGCAGCAGUGAGGAAUAUUGGUCAAUGGACGAGAGUCUGAACCAGCCAAGUAGCGUGAAGGAUGACUGCCCUAUGGGUUGUAAACUUCUUUUAUAUGGGAAUAAAAUGUUCCACGUGUGUGUUUUUGUAUGUAUCAUAUGAAUAAGGAUCGGCUAACUCCGUGCCAGCAGCCGCGGUAAUACGGAGGAUCCGAGCGUUAUCCGGAUUUAUUGGGUUUAAAGGGAGCGUAGGUGGAUGGUUAAGUCAGUUGUGAAAGUUUGCGGCUCAACCGUGAAAUUGCAGUUGAAACUGGCCGUCUAGAGAAUAGUAGAGGUGGGCGGAAUUCGUGGUGUAGCGGUGAAAUGCUUAGAUAUCACGAAGAACUCCGAUUGCGAAGGCAGCUCACUGGGCUACAACUGACACUGAGGCUCGAAAGUGUGGGUAUCAAACAGGAUUAGAUACCCGAGUAGUC
rnacentral:rRNA from 1 species